UACGAAGGGGGCUAGCGUUGUUCGGAAUCACUGGGCGUAAAGGGUGUGCAGGCUGCCCCUCAAGUGGUGUAUGAAAGGGCUCGGCUCAACCGGGCUAGGUUAUGCCAGACUGAGGGGCUAGAGAGCGAGAGCGGGACGUGGAAUUCCGGGUGUAGUGGUGAAAUGCGUAGAGAUCCGGAGGAACCCCAGAGGCGAAGGCGGCGUCCUGGCUCGCAUCUGACGCUCAGACACGACAGCAUGGGGAGCGAACGGG
rnacentral:rRNA from 1 species